ACGGAAGGCAGCAGUGGGGAAUAUUGCACAAUGGGGGAAACCCUGAUGCAGCGACGCCGCGUGAACGAUGAAGUAUUUCGGUAUGUAAAGUUCUAUCAGCAGGGAAGAUAAUGACGGUACCUGACUAAGAAGCACCGGCUAAAUACGUGCCAGCAGCCGCGGUAAUACGUAGGGUGCAAGCGUUAUCCGGAUUUACUGGGUGUAAAGGGUGCGUAGGUGGCAUGGCAAGUCAGAAGUGAAAUGCGGGGGCUCAACCCCUGAACUGCUUUUGAAACUGUCAAGCUAGAGUGCAGGAGAGGAAAGCGGAAUUCCUAGUGUAGCGGUGAAAUGCGUAGAUAUUAGGAGGAACACCAGUGGCGAAGGCGGCUUUCUGGACUGUAACUGACACUGAGGCACGAAAGCGUGGGGAGCAAACAGGAUUAGAUACCCUGGUA
rnacentral:rRNA from 1 species